rnacentral:rRNA from 1 species
UUGAACGCUGGCGGCAUGCUUUACACAUGCAAGUCGAACGGCAGCGGGGGCUUCGGCCUGCCGGCGAGUGGCGAACGGGUGAGUAAUACAUCGGAACGUGCCCGAUCGUGGGGGAUAACGGAGCGAAAGCUUUGCUAAUACCGCAUACGAUCUACGGAUGAAAGCAGGGGACCCUCGGGCCUUGCGCGAACGGAGCGGCCGAUGGCAGAUUAGGUAGUUGGUGGGAUAAAAGCUUACCAAGCCGACGAUCUGUAGCUGGUCUGAGAGGACGACCAGCCACACUGGGACUGAGACACGGCCCAGACUCCUACGGGAGGCAGCAGUGGGGAAUUUUGGACAAUGGGCGAAAGCCUGAUCCAGCAAUGCCGCGUGCAGGAUGAAGGCCUUCGGGUUGUAAACUGCUUUUGUACGGAACGAAAAGUCUCGGGAUAAUACCCUGGGACCAUGACGGUACCGUAAGAAUAAGCACCGGCUAACUACGU